rnacentral:lncRNA from 1 species
GAAAAUGAUAUGCCAAGCAUUUAAGUGACCUGUUCAAAGUCAGGUCGACCACAGUGAGAUGGCGCAGCCCCAGGGUGCGAAAGAUGAUAUACGUGCGUUGCAGCGAGAAGUGGGCUUGGACUGACAUGGCCGAUUUGUUUAUGUAUGGCUCCUGUAAGACAAAGAGAGGAGACACAGGGAGAACACAAAAAUGAAAUGCUUAUAAAAGUCAAUUCAUGUAGAAACACAGACUGUGAGGAAGAGGACAAAGAAAACAAUCACAUGGCUCUGGGAAGAAGAGGACCGCAAGUACUGAAUUCUGGUCACAGAAAGCAAUAAGGUCUAUAACUUGGACUGAGGAAAUAUUCAAAGACAUAAGGAGGAAAAAAAAAUUAAAGCAGAAAUGUUUCAUUUCUUCUAUGCCACAUACAAUUUUGCUGUGGAAUUCACUGCCAUAGGAAAUCAUUAAGCCCAGAAACUUCAGAGCAAACAUUUCUGUGGGUGCCAUAAAAAGACCUUUCAUGAGGAAUAACAAGUUUUUGGAAGAGAUACUAAACUUUCUGCUUCAGGCAUCACAUCAGAGUUGGCUUCGGUCUUACCAGAUUGAUGAAGAGUUGCUGAUACCGGGGAUCUGUAGUGUAGCGAUUCAGCAGCACGGCUAGGCGCGACGGCUUGGGCAGCUUCUCCACUGUUAUCUGGAACAGGCAAGAAUCCAUUUCUCUUUCCUUCUGCACUGCACAUUAGAACCCACGGUUCCAAAGCCUUCCAGUUCAUCUCUAAGAAAAAGCUUUCUAGCAGAGCUACUCUGGCAGACCUUGUCCUUUUUAAAUUCUUCUGCCAGUCAAGCUUAAACCAGUACUCAAAAUAAAAC